ACAUGCAAGUCGAGCGAAUGGAUUGAGAGCUUGCUCUCAAGAAGUUAGCGGCGGACGGGUGAGUAACACGUGGGUAACCUGCCCAUAAGACUGGGAUAACUCCGGGAAACCGGGGCUAAUACCGGAUAAUAUUUUGAACUGCAUGGUUCGAAAUUGAAAGGCGGCUUCGGCUGUCACUUAUGGAUGGACCCGCGUCGCAUUAGCUAGUUGGUGAGGUAACGGCUCACCAAGGCAACGAUGCGUAGCCGACCUGAGAGGGUGAUCGGCCACACUGGGACUGAGACACGGCCCAGACUCCUACGGGAGGCAGCAGUAGGGAAUCUUCCGCAAUGGACGAAAGUCUGACGGAGCAACGCCGCGUGAGUGAUGAAGGCUUUCGGGUCGUAAAACUCUGUUGUUAGGGAAGAACAAGUGCUAGUUGAAUAAGCUGGCACCUUGACGGUACCUAACCAGAAAGCCACGGCUAACUACGUGCCAGCAGCCGCGGUAAUACGUAGGUGGCAAGCGUUAUCCGGAAUUAUUGGGCGUAAAGCGCGCGCAGGUGGUUUCUUAAGUCUGAUGUGAAAGCCCACGGCUCAACCGUGGAGGGUCAUUGGAAACUGGGAGACUUGAGUGCAGAAGAGGAAAGUGGAAUUCCAUGUGUAGCGGUGAAAUGCGUAGAGAUAUGGAGGAACACCAGUGGCGAAGGCGACUUUCUGGUCUGUAACUGACACUGAGGCGCGAAAGCGUGGGGAGCAAACAGGAUUAAUACCCUAGUA
rnacentral:rRNA from 1 species